GACGAACGCUGGCGGCGUGCUUAACACAUGCAAGUCGAACGGAAAGGCCCUGCUUUUGUGGGGUGCUCGAGUGGCGAACGGGUGAGUAACACGUGAGUAACCUGCCCUGUACGUUGUGAUAACUUCAGGAAACUGGGGCUAAUACCGGAUAGGAGCUCCUGCUGCAUGGUGGGGGUUGGAAAUUUUCGGCGGUUGGGGGUGGACUCGCGGCUUAUCAGCUUGUUGGUGGGGUAGUGGCUUACCAAGGCUUUGACGGGUAGCCGGCAUGAGAGGGUGACCGGCCACAUUGGGACUGAGAUACGGCCCAGACUCCUACGGGAGGCAGCAGUGGGGAAUAUUGCACAAUGGGCGGAAGCCUGAUGCAGCAACGCCGCGUGCGGGAUGACGGCCUUCGGGUUGUAAACCGCUUUCGCCUGUGACGAAGCGUGAGUGACGGUAAUGGGUAAAGAAGCACCGGCUAACUACGUG
rnacentral:rRNA from 1 species